rnacentral:lncRNA from 1 species
AUUUCAUAUAAUUAUAACAGUUAUUAUUGCUACUUUUCUGGUAUACAAAAUGUAUUCAUGUUGUUUGACCAUGAAGGUUUUCCAGCAUAUUGUUUAUGAUAAUAACCUUUUGGUCCAGGUAUUCUCCCUUCUUUUCUGCUCCUCCUACUUAUGGUUACAGGUACAUUUAUAGAUCUACCACUAUCCCUGAACAGCUUGAAGCUGGGUUUCCACUUAGGAGAAUGGAUUUGAAACCCAACACUGAAGUAGCAGAGAAAACUCCAGGAUGUGUCUCAGUGCACAAGGGGAAAUUUCAUUCCAAAAAAGAAAAUGUGACCAUCUUCUACCCAGAAAAAGGACAAAAAUGGAACUGCCAGAAAGAGGUUUCUACCAUCCCAUGCUACUGAAGACCUUCCUGGAGAUUGAGCACCAAUGAAGAACUUAAGUUGGUGAUUGCAUGUUAUGCUUUGACAAUACAUUCAGCACCAUUUCUGAGAAAGUGAUUUUCUUUGAAUUAAUCCUCAAUAAUAUGGGCAAACAGGCACAAGAGCAAGAAGACUGAAAAAAAUAUAUUGUUGGUACAGAUACAUUGGAGAUGAAACUGGACGACAUCCUGGAAUCCAUCAAGAGCACCAGAGUAAGCAAAAGUGUUCAUGUACAAACUCUACUGAGCAUUUUUG